UACAGAGGGUGCAAGCGUUAAUCGGAUUUACUGGGCGUAAAGCGCGCGUAGGCGGCUAAUUAAGUCAAAUGUGAAAUCCCCGAGCUUAACUUGGGAAUUGCAUUCGAUACUGGUUAGCUAGAGUGUGGGAGAGGAUGGUAGAAUUCCAGGUGUAGCGGUGAAAUGCGUAGAGAUCUGGAGGAAUACCGAUGGCGAAGGCAGCCAUCUGGCCUAACACUGACGCUGAGGUGCGAAAGCAUGGGGAGCAAACAGG
rnacentral:ncRNA from 4 species